AGGCCAUAUCACUUCGAAAAAUCGUUUCUCGUAUGAUCACCGGAGUUAAGCAACGUCGAGUCUGGUCAGAACCUAAAUGGGUGACCGCAUGGGAAUGGCAGGUGUUGUAAG